GUGAGAAGUGCCAAUCUCAGGUUAUUAGGUCAAGUGAGAUCAAAAAUCAGUAUCCUGAGUGAGUGAUGGAGUUAGAGUGAUGCUGAAUGAAUGAUUUCUACACUUUUGCCUCUUUCCGUGAACUUCAGUUGACUAUAUUGUGGAGUAUGACUACGAUGCUGUACAUGAUGAUGAGUUAACUAUCCGAGUUGGGGAAAUCAUCCGAAAUGUGAAAAAACUACAGGAAGAAGGAUGGCUAGAAGGAGAACUAAAUGGGAGACGAGGGAUGUUCCCUGACAAUUUUGUUAAGGAAAUUAAAAGAGAGACAGAACCCAAGGAUGACAAUUUGCCCAUUAAACGGGAAAGGCCUGGAAAUGUCGCGAGUCUGGUCCAGCGAAUCAGCACCUACGGACUUCCAGCUGGAGGGAUUCAGCCACACCCACAAACCAAAGCUAUGAAGAAGAGUAUGUAGACAGUUCCUCUCUUACUUUGCUAUGCCAAAGUAGGAUACUUAUGUUGCUCAUAGAUUCCGAAAGAUGAGUUCAAUCUUCUGUAACCCAUCGCAGAAACUCUAAGUUACUCUAAUGUGCUGAUGACUUGGCACAUUGCAUGUCUAGUCAGUAACACUGAUGAUCCAACAGAGUGGCUGGUAGCCUUAUAAGAGCUAUAAAUGAAGAUCUCAGGUUUAUCUCUUAUUGUCUCUGUUUGAUUAAUAUAUUGAUUGUACUUAAUAGUGCUUUGUAGAUGGUGAGGUACCUGCUAGGUUUUUUUUUUUCCUUUCC
rnacentral:lncRNA from 1 species